CACCGGUGGGUGGCGUGCUUCGCUCGAAGCUUCCGGCUUCGAUAUGCGUGACGCAGCCGCCCGGUUCCUCUCCGAGUUCGGCGG
rnacentral:tRNA from 1 species